AAUUUUAGAGCAGGAUUGGCUCCAAUAUAUUCCUUCAGACCUGCUACUUGGCAACACAAAAGGAACAAAAUUUUCAAAUUUUGAAUGGUGAUUUUUCUUCCAUGUAAACCAGCUAGUAGAAGGCAUCUCUAAUGUGUGUGUCACAAGAUAUCUUGCAGUGUUUGAAGCCAUAGGGGUAUAUAACCUUUUGAUUUCCCAUGUAGAAGGAUUAAUUUUUGUUCGUCGAUAUCCAAAUCUUGGAGGUCGCUUCUU
rnacentral:lncRNA from 1 species